UUUAUUCUGUCUUUAAUUUUAUAAUAAGUUUAAAGUGUGUCUAAUCUUUUUUUUUUCAAGCGUCUGUUAGUUUUAAAGUGCAGCAGGAUGACGACUGUGGUCACAAAGUUCCUGCUGAUCACCGUAUUACUCCAUCUGAGCUUCUUCAUGCUGUCUGUGGAUGGAGAGUUAAAUCUUUCUCUCUGGUCAAAGCUAAAAGCAGGAGUGAAGAAAGCCAGCACUCUCUGCAACCUGGUACCAUUUCCAAUGAAAUUGGCCUGUAAAGGAGGAACGCUCGCAACUAACCAAAUAACUGAUGCGCUUAAAAAAAAAAUUGAAUCUCCACUCAAAGGUAAAACUGGGGGAGCGACCAAUGAUCAUAAUCCAUCUACUGGUGCUGAUGCUGGUGCUGCUGCUCCUGCUGAUGCUCCUCCCGCAGAUUAUGCUCCUCCCGCUGAUGCUGCUCCUCCUCCUGAUGCUGGUGCUUCUGAGUAAUGCAGUACUGUAUGUAAGAUUGUCUCCUGAAGCAUCUGUGAAACAUUUUCACUCUUUCAAACUCACUGUACUCACACUGUAUUCGCUUCCUGUUGUUU
rnacentral:lncRNA from 1 species